rnacentral:misc_RNA from 1 species
AUUAAAACAAAAAAUAACAUUUAUUUUUUAAAUUAAAAGUAAAUAAAAAUAAAUAAAAUAUAUAUAAAAUGAAAAAAAUCAAAACAUAUGGAAAAGUUAAGUCAAAGAAAUACAUUACAUCAAAUGACUGGGACUCACUUAAAGACAAAGCACAUAAACCUGAAAUCAUAGAUUUAACACGCAGCACGCCUGUGGUUCUUUCAAAUACGCCUCGAGUCAAUGAUAUUGUUGAUGACUUCAGUAAGUUAUCAAUGUUAUCAAAUUAUCAAUCAACUCCUUUAGUGCCUUACAAUGUAGAUGCUCCAUAUGAAGACUCGUGUUCUCCAUGUGAAGACUCGUGUUCUCCAUGUGAUUUAUGUUCUCCUUUGUUAUUUUCAACGUAUGAAGAAGCGGAUGAAACAAAAAAGUCAAAAGAAAAUAAAAAAAAUGCAAAAAGAUGUUUAAUUCAUACCAUAUUAAUUUCAAGUGAUUCUAUAAAAGAAGAUUUAGUUAAAGAAAAUUGCAUCAAAAAAGGUGCUUGUAAAGAAGAUGCGAUUUUGUGUUUAAGCUCCACCUUGAACAGUUCUGUAUCUUGUUUCCAACGAUCUGUAAGCUUUAUAAGUUCAAAAUCAAAGCCGAAAAUAAAGAAAGUUUUUUCUGCUGCUGUUUUGUCAUUAGAUCAUAAUAGUAGCGUUGUUCCACUUUCUCCUUAUGGUAAAUUUAAGAAUGCCUUGUCUUGCAAAGAAAAUGAUGAAGACAUGUUGUUAUCUAUAUGCGAACAGCAGUGUCUAAUUAACAUAGAAGAGUACAUUAAAAGCUCGCAAUUUCUUAGCAAGUUAGGAGAAGGAUCCUUUAGUGAUGUUUAUGAAAAGAUUGAUGAAAAUAAUUUUCGAACUGCGAUAAAGGUAAUUCCCUUUGGGAACAAAGAUUUUUCCCAAAUAUCGUUAGCAGAUGUUUUGCCAGAAAUAGAAAUAUCAAAAAAAUUGUCAGACCUUGAAAAAGAGGGUGUCAAAGAGUUUCUUAAAGUACACAAAGUCUUGUACUGCAAAGGAGGGUACCCAAGUAUCUUAAAAGAUUUGUGGGAGAAAUGGGAUAAAGAUCACAUGUCAGAAAACAACUAUCCAAAUUUUGGAGAUAAUCAAAAAUAUAUUAUUAUGGAAACAAAUUAUGGUGGUGUUGAUCUUGAACAUUUUUCUGUGACAACAUUUAAGCAAUCCCUAUUGAUUUUAAAAAAGAUCAUUACAGCUCUUUCUGCUGCUGAAAAAAAACUUAUGUUUGAACAUAGAGAUUUACAUUGGGGAAAUGUACUUAUUGACGAUUCCCAUGGCUUAUUGAAUGUUUCAAUCAUAGAUUUUACAUUGUCUAGGCUGUUAGCUGUCUAGAACAGUGGUUCCAAAUUCAUGGGAACUUUCUAAGUGGACCACAAGAUAAAAAUGACUGUGUAGUUUAUACAGAUUUGGGAAAGGAUACUUCACUUUUUGAAGGUGAUGGUGACAUACAGUUUGACGUUUACAGACAAAUGAAAGAACAUAUCGG